UGUGCUCCUUUGGCAGCACAUAUACAGCACAUUCCAUUAAAAUUGGUAUGGAGAAGAUUAGCAUAGCUCCCAUGCAAGGAUGACAGAAAAAUUUGUUAGGCGUACUUUUCUUCA
rnacentral:snRNA from 1 species